rnacentral:rRNA from 1 species
CUAAGAAUAUUCCGCAAUGGACGAAAGUCUGACGGAGCGACGCCGCGUGGAUGAUGAAGGCCGAAAGGUUGUAAAGUCCUUUUGCUGGGGAAGAAUAAGCSURGGAGGGAAUGCCUGSRUGAUGACAUGAACCGGCGAAUAAGCCCCGGCCAACUACGUGCCAGCAGCCGCGGUAACACGUAGGGGGCGAGCGUUGUUCGGAAUUACUGGGCGUAAAGGGCAUGUAGGCGGUCUGGUAAGCCUGGCGUGAAAGGCCACAGCUCAACUGUGGGAUUGCGUUGGGAACUGCUGGGCUUGAGUUAYGGAGAGGGAGCUAGAAUUCCUGGUGUAGGGGUGAAAUCUGUAGAUAUCAGGAAGAAUACCGAUGGCGAAGGCAAGCUCCUGGCCGAURACUGACGCUGAGGUGCGAAAGUGUGGGGAUCAAACAGGAUUAGAUACCCUGGUAGUCCACACUGUAAACGAUGUGCACUAGGUGCUGGGGCGGUAGCUUCAGUGCCGGAGCGAACGUGGUAAGGCMCCGCC